GUCUACCCACCCUCUGUUUGACCUUACAGAUCAACUCCAUUCUUCUCACCUGGACACUGUGUGUGCUGAGACAGAAGCUUUGCAGUGUUAACUCAGAUGUCUCAAAACUCAAGGACACCAGGUUGCUGACCUUCAAGGCUAUUGCCCAGAUAUUCAUCUUGGGCUGCUCCUGGGUGCUGGGCAUUUUCCAGAUUGGCCCCAUGGCAAGCAUUAUGGCGUACCUGUUCACCAUUAUCAACAGCCUGCAGGGUGCCUUCAUCUUUCUCAUUCACUGUCUGCUCAAUCGCCAGGUACGGGAUGCAUAUAGGAAAGUCAUCAUUAGGAAGACUGAAUCUAGCUCCCAUUCCCAGACUUCGGGGAUCUUACUGACAUCUAUGCACUCCGUUUCCAAUAUGGGUUAACAUCUUUUCUUGCUUUUAAAUAUACUAUGGAGCAACACUUUGAGGAUUGUAAGUGCUUUCACUUAGCUAGGAGAAACACGAAUUACUGCCCCAAAUCUUUCUCCUGUGCUGUACAACUGUGAGGCCACACAUGUUUUGAAAACAGCAUGUCCUGCUGUAGUGGCGCAAGUGUCAUCAUUUCCUUGUCUCCUAUAUCCUUUGUUGUGGGGCUACAUGAAUUUUCAUCUAACAUCUACCAUGUAUUGGACAUAGAUUAGCUCUCAAUAAACAAUUUGUUAUCUUUCUGAGCAA